UACGGAGGAUGCAAGCGUUAUCCGGAAUGAUUGGGCGUAAAGCGUCCGCAGGUGGCUAUGUAAGUCUGCUGUCAAAGAGCGAAGCUCAACUUCGUAAAGGCAGUGGAAACUACAAGGCUAGAGUGCGUUCGGGGCAGAGGGAAUUCCUGGUGUAGCGGUGAAAUGCGUAGAGAUCAGGAAGAACACCGGUGGCGAAGGCGCUCUGCUAGGCCGCAACUGACACUGAGGGACGAAAGCUAGGGGAGCGAAUGGG
rnacentral:rRNA from 1 species